AUGAAGGAGAGGCGAAUUACCUAUGGAACAGAGAUUUGCCUCGGUCGUCGUUGUAACGAAUGUGCCUCGGAAAUGGAGAGAAAACAAGAGGAACUAGAAUUCACGGGUAAUACUAAGCAUCCAUUAAUCUUCAGUUUUCUUUUUUUCUUCUUUGCUUCUGAACUCUUUUGUCGUUGCUUCAUUCUUUGCAUUUCUCGUUGUUAUUUGAAGUUGCGGUUGUGCAGUGAUAUUGUUGUUAUUGCUCAUUUGCAGAGAGAAAGGUUGAAUAAUUGA